rnacentral:rRNA from 1 species
GAUAAACGCUGGCGGCGUGCUUAACACAUGCAAGUCGAACGAAGUUUUUCCUUCGGGAGCAACUUAGUGGCGGACGGGUGAGUAACGCGUGGGUAACCUGCCCUGUACAGGGGGACAACAGCUGGAAACGGCUGCUAAUACCGCAUAAGCACUUAGCACUGCAUGGUGCAUAGGGAAAAGGAGCAAUCCGGUACAGGAUGGACCCGCGUCUGAUUGGCCAGUUGGCAGGGUAACGGCCUACCAAAGCGACGAUCAGUAGCCGAUCUGAGAGGAUGUACGGCCACAUUGGGACUGAGACACGGCCCAGACUCCUACGGGAGGCAGCAGUGGGGAAUAUUGCACAAUGGAGGAAACUCUGAUGCAGCGACGCCGCGUGAGUGAAGAAGUAUUUCGGUAUGUAAAGCUCUAUCAGCAGGGAAGAAAAUGACGGUACCUGACGAAGAAGCACCGGCUAAAUACGUG